UACGUAGGGCGCAAGCGUUGUCCGGAAUUAUUUUUCUUAAAUGUCUCUUAUUCGGCUUGGCAAGUUUAAGGUGAAAUCCCUCGGCUUAACCGAGGAACUGCCCUCCAAACUGCUUUGCUUGAGGCCGGGAGAGGCGAGUGGAAUUCCCAGUGUAGCGGUGAAAUGCGUAGAUAUUGGGAGGAACACCAGUGGCGAAGGCGGCUCGCUGGACCGGUUCUGACGCUGAGGCGCGAAAGCGUGGGGAGCAAACGGG
rnacentral:rRNA from 1 species